rnacentral:rRNA from 1 species
GACGAACGCUGGCGGCGUGCUUAACACAUGCAAGUCGAACGGAAAGGCCCUGCUUUUGUGGGGUGCUCGAGUGGCGAACGGGUGAGUAACACGUGAGUAACCUGCCCUUGACUUUGGGAUAACUUCAGGAAACUGGGGCUAAUACCGGAUAGGAGCUCCUGCUGCAUGGUGGGGGUUGGAAAGUUUCGGCGGUUGGGGAUGGACUCGCGGCUUAUCAGCUUGUUGGUUGGGUAGUGGCUUACCAAGGCUUGGACGGGUAGCCGGCCUGAGAGGGUGACCGGCCACAUUGGGACGGAGAUACGGCCCAGACUCAUACGGGAGGCAGCAGUGGGGAAUAUUGCACAAUGGGCGGAAGCCUGAUGCAGCAACGCCGCGUGCGGGAUGACGGCAUUCGGGUUGUAAACCGCUUUCGCCUGUGACGAAGCGUGAGUGAAGGUAAUGGGGAAAGAAGCACCGGCUAACUACGU